GGGAAGGAAGGAGGAACAAAAAGGAGGACGAGCGAAAGAAGAGAGGACAGAAGAUGGGAGGACAACAAAAUAAAGAAGCCAGUUGUUGGAGAACAGAAAGAAAGAAGUCUGUAAUAAAAAGAGUAAAGCAGAUGAGUAAUCCGAGAGGCAUUGGAGUAAAACUGACACUUUAAUUUCAAGAAGUAAUACUAGAGAGGAAGAGGAAAGGGUCAGUGAUUUUAUCAUACCAAAAUGACCAUCGCCAGGAUCAGUCCAAGCAGCCAGAAGCCUGAAAUUAAGAGUGAAGACUGAUGCAGCCCGGUCCAAGGCUAAAGGCCAGGAAGCUACCUGGAGAGAACCGGUGCAAGCCGUGUGCGAUGGCUGAGGAAUCUCGAACCUGACGUCCUUAGGCAAGAGCAGAACAGAAAAAUCACACAUGAAAACAAACAAACAAACAAAAACAACUGCUUAA